rnacentral:rRNA from 3 species
UGAAGAGUUUGAUCAUGGCUCAGAUUGAACGCUGGCGGCAGGCCUAACACAUGCAAGUCGAACGGUAACAGGAAGCAGCUUGCUGCUUUGCUGACGAGUGGCGGACGGGUGAGUAAUGUCUGGGAAACUGCCUGAUGGAGGGGGAUAACUACUGGAAACGGUGGCUAAUACCGCAUAACGUCGCAAGACCAAAGAGGGGGACCUUCGGGCCUCUUGCCAUCAGAUGUGCCCAGAUGGGAUUAGCUUGUUGGUGAGGUAACGGCUCACCAAGGCGACGAUCCCUAGCUGGUCUGAGAGGAUGACCAGCCACACUGGAACUGAGACACGGUCCAGACUCCUACGGGAGGCAGCAGUGGGGAAUAUUGCACAAUGGGCGCAAGCCUGAUGCAGCCAUGCCGCGUGUAUGAAGAAGGCCUUCGGGUUGUAAAGUACUUUCAGCGGGGAGGAAGGUGUUGUGGUUAAUAACCGCAGCAAUUGACGUUACCCGCAGAAGAAGCACCGGCUAACUCCGUGCCAGCAGCCGCGGUAAUACGGAGGGUGCAAGCGUUAAUCGGAAUUACUGGGCGUAAAGCGCACGCAGGCGGUCUGUCAAGUCGGAUGUGAAAUCCCCGGGCUCAACCUGGGAACUGCAUUCGAAACUGGCAGGCUUGAGUCUUGUAGAGGGGGGUAGAAUUCCAGGUGUAGCGGUGAAAUGCGUAGAGAUCUGGAGGAAUACCGGUGGCGAAGGCGGCCCCCUGGACAAAGACUGACGCUCAGGUGCGAAAGCGUGGGGAGCAAACAGGAUUAGAUACCCUGGUAGUCCACGCCGUAAACGAUGUCUACUUGGAGGUUGUGCCCUUGAGGCGUGGCUUCCGGAGCUAACGCGUUAAGUAGACCGCCUGGGGAGUACGGCCGCAAGGUUAAAACUCAAAUGAAUUGACGGGGGCCCGCACAAGCGGUGGAGCAUGUGGUUUAAUUCGAUGCAACGCGAAGAACCUUACCUGGUCUUGACAUCCACAGAACUUUCCAGAGAUGGAUUGGUGCCUUCGGGAACUGUGAGACAGGUGCUGCAUGGCUGUCGUCAGCUCGUGUUGUGAAAUGUUGGGUUAAGUCCCGCAACGAGCGCAAC